rnacentral:rRNA from 1 species
GUGGGGAAUCUUGCGCAAUGGGCGAAAGCCUGACGCAGCCAUGCCGCGUGAAUGAUGAAGGUCUUAGGAUUGUAAAAUUCUUUCACCGGGGACGAUAAUGACGGUACCCGGAGAAGAAGCCCCGGCUAACUUCGUGCCAGCAGCCGCGGUAAUACGAAGGGGGCUAGCGUUGCUCGGAAUUACUGGGCGUAAAGGGCGCGUAGGCGGACAGUUUAGUCAGAGGUGAAAGCCCAGGGCUCAACCUUGGAAUUGCCUUUGAUACUGGCUUUCUUGAGUACGGGAGAGGUGAGUGGAACUCCGAGUGUAGAGGUGAAAUUCGUAGAUAUUCGGAAGAACACCAGUGGCGAAGGCGACUCACUGGCCCGUUACUGACGCUGAGGCGCGAAAGCGUGGGGAGCAAACAGGAUUAGAAACCCGGGUAGUCC